rnacentral:tRNA from 1 species
GGAGGGGUGCCCGAGCGGUCUAAGGGGGCGGUCUUGAAAACCGCUGCACGCUAUAAGCGUGCCGUGGGUUCGAAUCCCACCCCCUCCGCUA